GACGAACGCUGGCGGCGUGCUUAACACAUGCAAGUCGAACGGUAAGGCCCUUCGGGGUACACGAGUGGCGAACGGGUGAGUAACACGUGGGUGAUCUGCCCUGCACUUCGGGAUAAGCCUGGGAAACUGGGUCUAAUACCGGAUAGGACCACUGCCUGCAUGGGUGGUGGUGGAAAGCUUUUGCGGUGUGGGGUGGGCCCGCGGCCUAUCAGCUUGUUGGUGGGGUGAUGGCCUACCAAGGCGACGACGGGUAGCCGGCCUGAGAGGGUGACCGGCCACACUGGGACUGAGAUACGGCCCAGACUCCUACGGGAGGCAGCAGUGGGGAAUAUUGCACAAUGGGCGCAAGCUUGAUGCAGCGACGCCGCGUGAGGGAUGACGGCCUUCGGGUUGUAAACCUCUUUCAGCACCGACGAAGCGCAAGUGACGGUAGGUGCAGAAGAAGGACCGGCCAACUACGUGCCAGCAGCCGCAGUAA
rnacentral:rRNA from 1 species